GCCUGGGUGGCUCAGUCAGUUGAGCGUCCGACUUCAGCUCGGGUCAUGAUCUCAUAGUCCAUGAGUUCAAGCCCCAUGUCGGGCU
rnacentral:tRNA from 1 species